UCCACGACUUCAUAGCCCAGACAACUGAAGUCAAUGAAGUCAAAGUAUGUGACAGAAAUUCCUGCAACUUGUCGUAUUCUUGGCAGUCUCCACGAGGUGAGUUUUCAUCUUGUACAAUAUACCAACAGUCCAUUUUACAGACCCUUAACCCUUUUCACACACUCCGAAUGAGCAUUGUUCACUUUUGACAGGAACAUUAGCCAAAUAAUAAUCAAACGUCACAAGUAAUAAUUUGGAAAAAAAAAAAGUCUAAUUGUCAUAUUCUCCAGUGUGCAUUUACCCAAAGCGCCUUCCUCUAUUGUCUCCCCAUAAUUAUGAAUACUUAACCCUUAUUAUAUGUGAUGAAUAUUGCAUGGAAUCUAUGAAUCUAUAAAUGCCCAUCUAUUUUUGGUCCCCUUUGAUUGGUUGGACUUCAUUUAAAUCUUCCACCCUUGGCGUUCCCUGUGAAAGGCCCACUUAAUGUGACUAGCCACAUUUUUUUCAAUUCAUAAUAAAACCGUACAUCAGGUGUGUCCCAAUUAUUAUUACCCUCAUACUGUCCCAACAGUUUCAGCAUUUAAUUACAAGUAAGUGCAAGACACUCAUUCAUAGCGAUGACAGUCAUGUCUCUGAGGUGGACACACCUUUAUCUACCGGGACCUCAAUGGCGGGCGGUCGGUGUGUGUCUGCGAUUGUGCUAUAAUAAGCUCUCUGUCUCCAUCUUUCUCUCCUUCCUGCCUUCCAGUUCCACUUUCAGUGUGAUGUGGGUGGAGAAGGAAGUGACCUAUAUAGGCUAUGCAGCUCUGCUCUGCUACAGCUUCCUGCAUGUGCAAUAAGUGUGUGUAUAUGGCGGGCGUGUGUGUGUGUGUGUGUGUGUGUGUGUGUGUGUGUGUGUGCAUGAGAGCAGAUAUAAAUAAUUCAGAGGAUGCCUCAACACAACCGCCUUCAAUAAAACCAUCCGCCUUAAUGAGUCUUAAUGACAGCGACGGUGUGGAGACAACCGAAGUGUAUGUGUGUGUGUUACCCUAGGCAAGUGAUUGUGUGAAUGCUAAUGCAUGUGCACGCUUUGCAGCGAUCGUCUUAGCCGCCGCCGCCGCCACACGGCUGAGUGUUUGCACAGGUGCCGAAGCCAACGGCUGCCUUUGCCCCAGGCUCUGUCAAGGUUGCCCGGGGUAAUAUUACCUGAGACUUUGAAAAGAACAUGAAAGCUGACUUCUCGGCAGGGGGGGUGAGAGGAGAAGCUGGAUGGGGUGGAGCGAGAAGAAGCCGCAGCAUCCUUUCCCUCCCAUCAGCUUGUUUCUCAGCUUGAACUCCAAAACGACUUCCUUCCUUCCUACUUUUGUUUUUAGGUUUGCUGCAUUUCAUCCCUUUUUCGAUUUACGCCUUGUUUGUAUUCAGUCUAACGGAUAAUUUGACAAUAUAUUAAAAGAGCAAUUCAACUAAAAUUGCUUUAAAUGUCAUUCUUAAGCAAUUUCUUAAUGGUUUACUUUGUGAAUAUUUCGUAAUUGUAAUGAUGGCUAAGAAAGAGCCCUUCUUGAUUUUCAAGGGAUGAUGUAAUUGGACUUGGCAGUCGGAUGAAAACAUAUCCGGUGUCUGUGCUAUUUUAAAAUAGCAAAAAAAAAGGCCUUUUUCACACUUUCAAUUCACAUUUGAAGUCCUUCAUGUCAGCAUUAACCCAUCGCACCCUUUAAUUUGACUUCAGUCACUACAAAGUCAUAGCGCACAUAAAGACCCUCACCGCAACAUUAAGUCGAAUUUCGCAAUCGAAUGAGAUCAGAGAGCUGCAUAAGAAUUUUCCCGUCAUGAAUAGCAUCAGUCAGGCAGUAAAUAGUGCUCGUAUUAUAAUGGGGCCCGUCUAUUCAUGUUCUGUACUGUUUUUCAUGUUCUAUGCUGGUCCUGAUUCGGCUCACGGGUGAGCUGGAGCCUAUGAGAAGAAUCCUGGAGACCCCCCACAAAGCCCAUUUUGGAUGUGAGCCAGUACCAAAGUGAUCAGAUGAAAGACCAAGUGAAUAUCAGACAAAAGUUGUUGAGCUGGCCGGUCCGGGGCAACUUGGCCAAAGUCAUCCAUCAUUGUGAGCCACCUUUAGUGUCACAGCUGUUUGGGCCGGGCCACCAGCGGCCGGCUACAUCUGCUGCUGGCUUGGUGUCGUCGGGGUCAUCUGUGACUGCGUAAAACACAGCAGCCACUGCAACAGAUGGACUGAGAUACACAACGCUCCAGAGAAGGAAAGAGAAAAUGAAACCCUUCUGACUGAUUCUUUGGCAAGUUAGUGGGAAAAUGAACAAAUACAUUUUCAGAGCUCAGAAGUCUGGGUUUCCUAAAAUGAUGGCAGCAAAAUAAGAACACAGUGGCCCUUGCUAAUUCCAUCAUGAAAGACGUGACAACCUGAAUCCUUUCAAAUGAUUUAUUGCAGAACGUGUAUACAGAAGAGAUAUUGAUCUCUGUGGCACUCUCAAAAGCCUUUUAUGGGGACAAUAAACACUUAUAAAUGUCACCUGA